GUCCAUUGACUUGGACAAAUUUAUGACAUUAUGACCUC
rnacentral:rRNA from 1 species